rnacentral:rRNA from 1 species
AUGGGGGUGUGGCAGGCCACAUGGGGUAUCCCCCCUUGGGGCCCUCUUGUUCCUUGGUCCUCCCGAAGGGCUGUCCGCGACACCGUCUGGGGGGCUGUUCGACCGCCUCCCGGAGGGCUAUCUGAGGAGAAGAUAAGGGUGUACAUCCUCGCGGUUGGGAGGCUACCACACACACCCCGAGCGGGGAAGGGCACGCAUGGCCGGGGCGGGGCUCGCGCUCGCGCGGCCGGAGCGGAGCAUGGCCGGGGCGGGGCUCGCGUGCGCGCAGUCGAAGUGGGCCUUCUCCGCCCGCGCACUCCACGGCGCCCUCAUCGGGCGGUUGAGCUCCAGCUCCACGGCAUGGCCGAGGACGAGGACGUUCACGGGAUCUCCGGCCUGGCCGUGGCGCUGCUCGCCCUGGCCGGUGUCCUGCUCCUGGGCCCCGACACGGAGAGGCCGGCGCGCGCCUUGGCUGCAUCCUCGGCGCGGCCGCGGGCGUGGCCUGCGCGCGCGGCUGCCGACGGGACGGCCUGGGCGGCUGCGGAGAAGACGUGGCUCCUCCUCUCCGUCUCCUCGCUGGCCAACACCAACUUCCCGCUCUCCACGGCCGGCCUCCUCCCGUUCCUCGUCGCCACGCUCACCGCCACCGACGUCCCGGCCGACACAAGGCUGGCGUGCCUCGCGGCGCUCCGCAACCUCUCCGCCAAGCUCGAGCACGUCCGGGUCGUGGUCAACAGCGGCCCCGUGCGUGCGCUCCUGGCGCUCUCCCUGAUGGAGUGGACGGAGAUCACGGCAGCGGAGAAGAAUCUCUCUCUCGGGGGCUGGGUUGGGGACGGGCAUCAUCGGAAUGAAUCGGAGGCUACAGGGGAGGGGAGGGGAGGGUCCCAUCUCCUCUGUUCAUCAACCGGUGCGGUGCGGUCCGUGCGUACGCUCCUCCGGCCGCAUCCAUUUCCAUUUGCUGCCCUGCCCCUCACUCCCACCCCCACUCCCUCCCUCUCCAGUGGUUCAGCCUCCGCCGGGACCAGACGCGUCGCCGCCGGCCGUACACAGCACUGGGCCGCCAGUCACCGCACUGCCGCCGGCGCCCAAGGAGGUGAGGACCCCCUCCUUCCACAUAGUGGAUCCUCAGAUCUGAAUGGGGACUUGUUUAUUACAUAUCUCUGCUUUCAUUUGAUCUGUCUACCGGAAAGCACCGGGUUUUCGAACAAGGGAGAUCUAGCUAGCUUUUUCCUCUGGAUCAAGGGAUCCUUCCCUCAUCUCUCCGCCCAAUUCAAGAACAAGGGCCAACCAAGAACUGUAUCUCAUCUCUCCAGUUGGUUUUCAAGUACCAGCAUUGAUGACGACUGCCGCAUAUAUAUCUCGCUCGCUGGAUCUGCAUCGCUUCUAGCGGGUCUCCAAGGGUCUCGCGCUCUGCUCACCUCUACUUCUCAAACAGCAAGGGAUAUCUAUCCAGGUCUUGCUCUCGAGCAAGGGCCAAGCAAGAUCCGUCUCUCACAUUUGUGGAGCUACGAACAAAGGAAGCAGAAGGGACCUGCAUCCCGAAUUCGCUCCAGGCUCGGCUCGGCUCAGCUCAUUCAAGAGUGUUAUAGAGCCACCAAACAGUGA